UACAGAGGUGGCAAGCGUUGUUCGGAAUUACUGGGCGUAAAGGGCGCGUAGGCGGUCUUGUAAGUCCCGUGUGAAAUCCCUCGGCUCAACUGAGGAACUGCACGGGAAACUGCUUGGCUUGAGUUCGGGAGAGGGAAGCGGAAUUCCGGGUGUAGCGGUGAAAUGCGUAGAUAUCCGAAGGAACACCGGUGGCGAAGGCGGCUUCCUGGACCGACACUGACGCUGAGGCGCGAAAGCUAGGGGAGCAAACGGG
rnacentral:rRNA from 1 species